rnacentral:tRNA from 1 species
ACCUGGCUGACUCAGUUGGUAGAGUGAGUGGCUCUUGAUCUCGGGGUUGUGAGUUCAAGCCCCAUGUUGGGUG